rnacentral:tRNA from 1 species
ACCAUCUUAGCUCAGUGGUAGAGCGCGUGACUUUUAACGUGGUCGUGGGUUUAAUCGCCACAGAUGGUG